GUGUUUUCCCCUUGGC
rnacentral:misc_RNA from 1 species